rnacentral:rRNA from 1 species
GCCUUUAGUUGCCAUCACGUUUGGGUGGGCACUAUAAAGGAACUGCCGGUGACAAGCCGGAGGAAGGUGGGGAUGACGUCAAGUCCUCAUGGCCCUUAUGUCCUGGGCUACACACGUGCUACAAUGGCGGUGACAGUGGGAAGCCAGGUGGUGACACCGAGCCGAUCUCAAAAAGCCGUCUCAGUUCGGAUUGCACUCUGCAACUCGAGUGCAUGAAGGUGGAAUCGCUAGUAAUCGCGGAUCAGAA